rnacentral:rRNA from 1 species
UACGUAGGGGGCAAGCGUUGUCCGGAUUUAUUGGGCGUAAAGCGCUCGCAGGUGGUUCGUCGCGUCGUGCGUGAAAGACCCCGGCUCAACUGGGGGAGGUCGUGCGAUACGGGCGGACUGGAGGCCAGUAGGGGGAUGCGGAAUUCCGGGUGUAGUGGUGGAAUGCGUAGAGAUCCGGAGGAACACCAGCGGCGAAGGCGGCAUCCUGGACUGGUCCUGACACUCAUGAGCGAAAGCGUGGGGAGCGAGCCGG